rnacentral:rRNA from 1 species
UGGGGAAUCUUGCGCAAUGGGCGAAAGCCUGACGCAGCGACGCCGCGUGAGUGAUGAAGGCCUUCGGGUUGUAAAGCUCUGUGGGGAGAGACGAAUAAGUGCAGCCUAAUACGCUGCAUGAUGACGGUAUCUCCUUAGCAAGCACCGGCUAACUCUGUGCCAGCAGCCGCGGUAAGACAGAGGGUGCAAACGUUGUUCGGAAUUACUGGGCGUAAAGCGAGUGUAGGCGGUUUCCUAAGUCGGAUGUGAAAGCCCCGGGCUCAACCCGGGAAGUGCACUCGAAACUGGGAGGCUAGAGUAUCGGAGAGGUUGGUGGAAUUCUCGGUGUAGAGGUGAAAUUCGUAGAUAUCGAGAGGAACACCGGUGGCGAAGGCGGCCAACUGGACGAAUACUGACGCUGAGACUCGAAAGCGUGGGGAGCAAACA